AGUGAACGCUGGCGGUAGGCCUAACACAUGCAAGUCGAACGGCAGCACAGUAAGAGCUUGCUCGUACGGGUGGCGAGUGGCGGGCGGGUGAGGAAUACAUCGGAAUCUACUUUUUCGUGGGGGAUAACGUAGGGAAACUUACGCUAAUACCGCAUACGACCUACGGGUGAAAGCAGGGGAUCUUCGGACCUUGCGCGAUUGAAUGAGCCGAUGUCGGAUUAGCUAGUUGGCGGGGUAAAGGCCCACCAAGGCGACGAUCCGUAGCUGGUCUGAGAGGAUGAUCAGCCACACUGGAACUGAGACACGGUCCAGACUCCUACGGGAGGCAGCAGUGGGGAAUAUUGGACAAUGGGCGCAAGCCUGAUCCAGCCAUACCGCGUGGGUGAAGAAGGCCUUCGGGUUGUAAAGCCCUUUUGUUGGGAAAGAAAAGCAGCAGGUUAAUACCCCGCUGUUCUGACGGUACCCAAAGAAUAAGCACCGCCUAACUUCGUG
rnacentral:rRNA from 1 species